AACGCGUUGGCCCAACUGAUUGAACGUGCUUGCACGGACUUGACGUUGGUUUACCAGCGAGUGGCGGACGGGUGAGUAACACGUAGGUAACCUGCCCCAAAGCGGGGGAUAACAUUUGGAAACAGAUGCUAAUACCGCAUAAUAAUUUGAAUCGCAUGAUUCAAAUUUAAAAGAUGGCUUCGGCUAUCACUUUGGGAUGGACCUGCGGCGCAUUAGCUUGUUGGUAGGGUAACGGCCUACCAAGGCUGUGAUGCGUAGCCGAGUUGAGAGACUGAUCGGCCACAAUGGAACUGAGACACGGUCCAUACUCCUACGGGAGGCAGCAGUAGGGAAUCUUCCACAAUGGGCGCAAGCCUGAUGGAGCAACACCGCGUGAGUGAAGAAGGGUUUCGGCUCGUAAAGCUCUGUUGUUAGAGAAGAACGUGCGUGAGAGCAACUGUUCACGCAGUGACGGUAUCUAACCAGAAAGUCACGGCUAACUACGUGCCAGCAGCCGCGGUAAUACGUAGGUGGCAAGCGUUAUCCGGAUUUAUUGGGCGUAAAGCGAGCGCAGGCGGUUUGAUAAGUCUGAUGUGAAAGCCUUUGGCUUAACCAAAGAAGUGCAUCGGAAACUGUCAGACUUGAGUGCAGAAGAGGAUAGUGGAACUCCAUGUGUAGCGGUGGAAUGCGUAGAUAUAUGGAAGAACACCAGUGGCGA
rnacentral:rRNA from 1 species